GUCCCGAUAGCUCAGUAGGAUAGAGCGGCUGCCUCCUAAGCAGCAGGUCGGAGGUUCGACUCCUCUUCGGGACG
rnacentral:tRNA from 1 species